CAGUCGCCGCGGGAAAACGAAGGGGGCUAGCGUUGCUCGGAAUGACUGGGCGUAAAGGGCGCGUAGGCGGCGAUCAAAGUCAGGCGUGAAAUUCCUGGGCUCAACCUGGGGGCUGCGUUUGAUACUUGAUUGCUAGAGUGGGGAAGAGGGUCGUGGGAUUCCCAGUGUAGAGGUGAAAUUCGUAGAUAUUGGGAAGAACACCGGUGGCGAAGGCGGCGACCUGGUCCUUGACUGACGCUGAGGCGCGAAAGCGUGGGGAGCAAACAGGAUUAGAUACCCGAGUAGUCCCUGUCUCUUAUAC
rnacentral:rRNA from 1 species